GCUGACGAGUGGCGGACGGGUGAGUAAUGUCUGGGAAACUGCCUGAUGGAGGGGGAUAACUACUGGAAACGGUAGCUAAUACCGCAUAACGUCGCAAGACCAAAGAGGGGGACCUUCGGGCCUCUUGCCAUCGGAUGUGCCCAGAUGGGAUUAGCUUGUGGUGGGGUAACGGCUCACCAGGCGACGAUCCCUAGCUGGUCUGAGAGGAUGACCAGCCACACUGGAACUGAGACACGGUCCAGACUCCUACGGGAGGCAGCAGUGGGGAAUAUUGCACAAUGGGCGCAAGCCUGAUGCAGCCAUGCCGCGUGUAUGAAGAAGGCCUUCGGGUUGUAAAGUACUUUCAGCGGGGAGGAAGGGAGUAAAGUUAAUACCUUUGCUCAUUGACGUUACCCGCAGAAGAAGCACCGGCUAACUCCGUGCCAGCAGCCGCGGUAAUACGGAGGGUGCAAGCGUUAAUCGGAAUUACUGGGCGUAAAGCGCACGCAGGCGGUUUGUUAAGUCAGAUGUGAAAUCCCCGGGCUCAACCUGGGAACUGCAUCUGAUACUGGCAAGCUUGAGUCUCGUAGAGGGGGGUAGAAUUCCAGGUGUAGCGGUGAAAUGCGUAGAGAUCUGGAGGAAUACCGGUGGCGAAGGCGGCCCCCUGACGAAGA
rnacentral:rRNA from 1 species